GAAUAAGGAUCGGCUAACUCCGUGCCAGCAGCCGCGGUAAUACGGAGGAUCCGAGCGUUAUCCGGAUUUAUUGGGUUUAAAGGGAGCGUAGAUGGAUGUUUAAGUCAGUUGUGAAAGUUUGCGGCUCAACCGUAAAAUUGCAGUUGAUACUGGAUAUCUUGAGUGCAGUUGAGGCAGGCGGAAUUCGUGGUGUAGCGGUGAAAUGCUUAGAUAUCACGAAGAACUCCGAUUGCGAAGGCAGCCUGCUAAGCUGCAACUGACAUUGAGGCUCGAAAGUGUGGGUAUCAAACAGGAUUAGAUACCCUGGUAGUCCACACGGUAAACGAUGAAUACUCGCUGUUUGCGAUAUACUGCAAGCGGCCAAGCGAAAGCGUUAAGUAUUCCACCUGGGGAGUACGCCGGCAACGGUGAAACUCAAAGGAAUUGACGGGGGCCCGCACAAGCGGAGGAACAUGUGGUUUAAUUCGAUGAUACGCGAGGAACCUUACCCGGGCUUAAAUUGCAGAUGAAUUACGGUGAAAGCCGUAAGCCGCAAGGCAUCUGUGAAGGUGCUGCAUGGUUGUCGUCAGCUCGUGCCGUGAGGUGUCGGCUUAAGUGCCAUAACGAGCGCAACCCUUGUUGUCAGUUACUAACAGGUUCCGCUGAGGACUCUGACAAGACUGCCAUCGUAAGAUGUGAGGAAGGUGGGGAUGACGUCAAAUCAGCACGGCCCUUACGUCCGGGGCUACACACGUGUUACAAUGGGGGGUACAGAGGGCCGCUACCACGCGAGUGGAUGCCAAUCCCCAAAACCUCUCUCAGUUCGGACUGGAGUCUGCAACCCGACUCCACGAAGCUGGAUUCGCUAGUAAUCGCGCAUCAGCCACGGCGCGGUGAAUACGUUCCCGGGCCUUGUACACACCGCCCGUCAAGCCAUGGAAGCCGGGAGUGCCUGAAGUGCGUGACCGCAAGGAGCGUCCUAAGGCAAUACCGGUGACUGGGGCUAAGUCGUAACAAGGUAGCCGUACCGGAAGGUGCGGCUG
rnacentral:rRNA from 1 species